UUUCUCUUUCCUUUUCUUUUUUAGGGAGAGAAAAGUGGAUGGUGUAGGGGUAGAGGGAGAGGGAGAGAGAGAAUCUUAAGUAGGCUUCAUGGCCAAUGCAGACCCCAAUGCCCUCAUGACCUUGAGUUCAUGACCUCAGCUGAAAUCAAGAGUCAGAUACUUAAGCAACUGAGCCAUCCAGGCAUCCCAAUAGGUGUUUUCUUUAUUAAAUGAAUUGAGUGUUCUUUUUCAAACAGCCAGGAGUAUCAGGAGAAGAGAAUGGAAAGGCCAUCCUCGUAUUUAAUUAACUUCUUAAAAACUAACCAAAGUGAAAACAGAGAAAUCCUUGAAGAAAAUGUUUAGGAAAGCGAUCAUAAAAAUUUAGUACUUAAAGGUUUUAAGAUUAGUACUUAAUUUUUUUAAAGAUUAACAGUUAAUAUAAAUGAAUAGGUAAUAGUUUUUUAAAUUUCACAUUGAUGAGCAUUAAAUAUCUCUUAAAGAUGCAAUCCAGAGAAGAUCUUCAUAUUUGGGGCCCUUUUAUGCAUUUAUAUUUCAUUCACUUAUGGGUAUAUUUAUUUCCAUAUGGCCUUUUUCCAUUUAAUUCCCAAUAUUUCUUCUUCCGUUACCUCAAAUGCUUUUUUUUAAAAAAAAAAAUAUUUUUUUAUGCAUGAGAGACACAGAGAGAGGUAGAGACACAGGCAGAGGGAGAAGCAGGCUCCCUGUGGGGAGCCCAAUGUGGGACUCGAUCCCGGGACCCUGGGGUCGUGACUUGAGCCGAAGGCAGACGCUCAACUGCUGAGCCCCCCAGGAGUCCCUCAAAACAGUCAUUGUUAGUGUCAUAAGAAAGCAAAUAUCAGUGCCCUACAAACAUCAGGAAGAAAAACAGACCAUUUUCGGCUGGGGCUACGCUGGAUCAGGAAUUCGGAGAGGUCAUUUCGGGGCACUUUCAUGAAUCCAUAGCCUUUCAAUAAAUGGUGAAGGAAGAUGGAAGAAAUUCCAGGCAGCAGAAAUAUAAACAGAGGCUCAGGAAGAGAGAGGGCAAAAACAGGGUAGGAGAGAGGGCAAAAACGGGGUAGGAGAGUUUGGUCUGGGUGUUGGCUAAAAUGUUGGGCACACACAGGGAGUUAACAGGAGUGCUGAGGGCUUGUCUGAGCACCAACUUCCGUGGAUUUCGUAAGUCAAGGUAAGAAUUGUGGACAGAUGAGAAGCAUUAAGGGAACAAGCUUUCAUUUAACCAUAAGGCCAACGUCUAUGGGAGCGCUGACGAUGCUGUGCAGCAGAGGCAGUGAGCCUUAGGGAGAUCUGAGUGUCGGGGCUGCAGGGAGAGAGAAGCACCCACCCCAAGAUCCAUACUCUUCCUACACCACAGCGCGCAACACUUACUACAACAAUCCGAGCAGAGUGUUUGUUGAAGAUCAAACAGUGUGAAGAGUGUGGGACAAAAACAGUACAAGGCUGAAGUCAGAGACACCAACAAGUCAUAGAAACAAGUCCAAGCUGAAGUAGAAACCUGCAAGGGUGGUUGUAAGAAAAUACUGGGAAAGAAAUAUUUCGAAGGACACUGCAAAGAAACUACUCGAAUGCUCAGGUAACUUCAAGUGGCUAUUCCUCUCUGCAUUAAAGGAAAAAUUAAAAAUAAAUAAAUAAAAGUUUAACCCAGGUAAGACCAAAAACGUUUUAAGAAAUAGCCAACAUUUAAAUACUAAGAAAUAGCUCAUCGAUCCCAAAAGUAAUUCUCUAAAUCCCAAAAGUGUUAUAAGAUGUACUUAUAAUAUUUAAGCCAUCUGCUUUACUCUUUUUAUUGUUGUCUCUAUAAGUUGGGUUAAAAUAACCUAGUAAAGUCAGGCGAAAAUAAGUAUGGUGCUACGUGGAUUAAAAUAUUUCUCGAAAUCCAUAUUUUCAAUUCAUUUAUGCCAGAAAGGAGUUUGUAUGCAAGAUGGCAAUUUAACCAAGAAGCUAGACGAAUUAAAUAUACAUUUCUUUUCCAAAUGAACUGAAAGCAUCAUUAAUCCUAAGUAUUUCCUUGAUGCCUGUCACCAUGGUAUCAAAUCACAGAACUAUUAGAAGAGAAGCAUUAAAAGGAAUUGAAACUCCUG
rnacentral:lncRNA from 1 species